rnacentral:rRNA from 1 species
UACCGGCAGCUCGAGUGAUGGCCGAUUUUAUUGGGCCUAAAGCGUCCGUAGCUGGCCCUGCAAGUCCGUCGGGAAAUCCACUCGCCUAACGAGUGGGCGUCCGGCGGAAACUACAGGGCUUGGGACCGGAAGACUUGAGGGGUACGUCUGGGGUAGGAGUGAAAUCCUGUAAUCCUGGACGGACCGCCGACGGCGAAAGCACCUCAAGACGACGGAUCCGACAGUGAGGGACGAAAGCUAGGGUCUCGAACCGG